rnacentral:rRNA from 1 species
CUUCGGGAGCCGACGAGUGGCGGACGGGUGAGUAACGCGUAGGAAUCUGCCUGAUAGAGGGGGACAACGUGGGGAAACUCACGCUAAUACCGCAUACUCCCUACGGGGGAAAGCGGGGGACCUUCGGGCCUCGCGCUAUCAGAUGAGCCUGCGUUAGAUUAGCUAGUUGGUGGGGUAAAGGCCUACCAAGGCGACGAUCUAUAGCUGGUCUGAGAGGACGAUCAGCCACACUGGGACUGAGACACGGCCCAGACUCCUACGGGAGGCAGCAGUGGGGAAUAUUGGACAAUGGGGGCAACCCUGAUCCAGCAAUACCGCGUGUGUGAAGAAGGCCUGAGGGUUGUAAAGCACUUUCAAGUGGGAGGAAAAAGCCUGGGCGAACAGUCUAGGUGUUGACAUUACCACUAGAAGAAGCACCGGCUAACUCCGUGCCAGCAGCCGCGGUAAUACGGAGGGUGCGAGCGUUAAUCGGAAUUACUGGGCGUAAAGCGUGCGUAGGCGGUGAUUUAAGUCAGAUGUGAAAGCCCCGGGCUUAACCUGGGAACGGCAUUUGAUACUGGAUGACUAGAGUUUAGGAGAGGGGAGUGGAAUUUCCGGUGUAGCGGUGAAAUGCGUAGAGAUCGGAAGGAACACCAGUGGCGAAGGCGGCUCUCUGGCCUAAAACUGACGCUGAGGUACGAAAGCGUGGGUAGCAAACAGGAUUAGAUACCCUGGUAGUCCACGCCGUAAACGAUGUCAACUAGCCGUUGGGUCUUAUUAUGAGGCUUAGUGGUGCAGCUAACGCAAUAAGUUGACCGCCUGAGGAGUACGGCCGCAAGGUUAAAACUCAAAUGAAUUGACGGGGGCCCGCACAAGCGGUGGAGCAUGUGGUUUAAUUCGAUGCAACGCGAAGAACCUUACCUACCCUUGACAUCCAGAGAAUCUGUGAGAGAUCGUAGAGUGCCUUCGGGAGCUCUGAGACAGGUGCUGCAUGGCUGUCGUCAGCU